UUCAUAUUAUAAUAUAGAUGCUAUGAAUGCAGUAGGAAAUGUGGAGUCUGUUUCGUUUUACCUUGAAUGUAUUUUGCAUUUUUUUCACUGCAAAGACUAAUUUCAGAUGUUUGGUAUGCAGUAUGUUAAUUUUUCACAUACAAGGAAAUUUUAAUAUGCAUUAUUUGUAGCAGGUGAAUACUAAACUCACAACCACCAAAUAUUAAAGUGGUCCUCCAAGCGUGGUCAUUAUAGUAAAAACCAUGCUUCAUCAAUGAACCUUGUCAUAGCAGACAUGCUUCAAACAGCAAAUUCUUCACAGUAGAGGGAUGCAUUUAUAGUCAUGAACACCUGGCUAGGAGACCAUUUCUUAAGCUCACCAUUCAGUGGGGAACUCUAGCCCGGCAUGGUGGUGCAUGCCUGUAAUUUUAGCACUUGGGACACUGAGGCACGAGGAUUCUAAGUUCUAAUCGAGGCUAUUUAGUCAACAAUUAAAAAGGGCUCUAUAAAAGUAAAUCCAACAUGAAAAAAAUAAAUGUAACAAGAUUUGGUAGAAUUUGUUCUUAUAAGUUCCAUUUCUACAUUUUCUUUCCUCCUAUAACACAUUUACUAUGUGACAGAUAUGUUAUAUACAUAUUUCCUUCUACGCUCACAAAAACCCUCGAUCCAAACCACUACUUUGUGGAUUAGGAAGCUCAGAGUAAGUCACGUCUCUCAACUAACACAGCUUGUAGAUCUGAAUUUAGAACCAAGCCGACUGUGAGGUAAUUUUUCAGUAUUUCCUUUAUUCUCUUUGUACAAUGAUCUUUACCCUAGAAAAUGUUAAUAACUGCCUCUACCUGAAAACUUUGGUUCUGUUUUCUUCCAGUUGAGUCACUAAUGAUGAAUUUAGGAACCACACCAUAAUUACUGGAUAGAACUGACAGUAUGACUGGGAGGCAGAUGUGAAAAGACCAGGAUUUUAAGUGAAAGCCUGAAAUGCUCAGUCUCCAAAUGCAUGCCCAAAUUCACAGUGUUUGGACGGAACAGACCCCAGGACUCCCUCUUUUUCACCCUCCAUCGUUACAAAUUAUGGGACCAUCACCUCGCCUGUGUCCUGCUUCCAGGACCAGCCAACACCAUUCAUUUGUGGAUAGCUCCUUACUGCUGACCAGCCAUGACUUCUCAGAUUCAUCAGGAUUAUUCCACCGAGGUGGAGGCUGUCCUCAACCACCUGGUGAAUCUGCACCUUUCUCUGGGUUACUACUUUGACCAUGACAAUGUGGCUCUGGUGGGUGUGGGCCAUUUAUUCUGCAAGCUGGC
rnacentral:lncRNA from 1 species